rnacentral:rRNA from 1 species
AACGAACGCUGGCGGCAUGCCUAACACAUGCAAGUCGAACGAGACCUUCGGGUCUAGUGGCGCACGGGUGCGUAACGCGUGGGAACCUGCCCUUAGGUUCGGAAUAACUCCCCGAAAGGGGUGCUAAUACCGGAUAAUGUCUUCGGACCAAAGAUUUAUCGCCUUUGGAUGGGCCCGCGUUGGAUUAGCUAGUUGGUAGGGUAAAAGCCUACCAAGGCGACGAUCCAUAGCUGGUCUGAGAGGAUGAUCAGCCACACUGGGACUGAGACACGGCCCAGACUCCGACGGGAGGCAGCAGUGGGGAAUAUUGGACAAUGGGCGAAAGCCUGAUCCAGCAAUGCCGCGUGAGUGAUGAAGGCCUUAGGGUUGUAAAGCUCUUUUACCCGGGAUGAUAAUGACAGUACCGGGAGAAUAAACUCCGGCUAACUCCGU